GACGUAGGGCGCGAGCGUUGUCCGGAUUUAUUGGGCGUAAAGAGCUCGUAGGCGGCUUGUUGCGUCGACUGUGAAAACCCGGGGCUUAACCCCUGGCUUGCAGUGGAUACGGACAGACUAGAGGUAGGUAGGGGAGAAUGGAAUUCCCGGUGUAGCGGUGAAAUGCGCAGAUAUCGGGAGGAACACCGGUGGCGAAGGCGGUUCUCUGGGCCUUACCUGACGCUGAGGAGCGAAAGCGUGGGGAGCGAACAGG
rnacentral:rRNA from 1 species